AUUAAAUACAAGGAGGUGAUUGGUGUUGGCUACAGGUGAGGAGGCCCCACCCUAGCUAAUCACUCAACAAAGCACCUGGACAGUCGUUAAGCACCACUCCCCAACUCCACACUUCACACUAAGCUAGUCUGAUUACCCUAAACAGUUUCAGACAACACAAAUCUGGC